rnacentral:rRNA from 1 species
AUUGAACGCUGGCGGCAUGCCUUACACAUGCAAGUCGAGCGGCAGCGCGGGGGCAACCCUGGCGGCGAGCGGCGAACGGGUGAGUAAUGCAUCGGAACGUGUCCUCUUGUGGGGGAUAACCGGUCGAAAGACUGGCUAAUACCGCAUGAGCUCGAGAGAGGAAAGCGGGGGAUCCGCGAGGACCUCGCGCGAGAGGAGCGGCCGAUGUCCGAUUAGCUAGUUGGUAGGGUAACGGCCUACCAAGGCGACGAUCGGUAGCUGGUCUGAGAGGACGGCCAGCCACACUGGGACUGAGACACGGCCCAGACUCCUACGGGAGGCAGCAGUGGGGAAUUUUGGACAAUGGGCGC